UUCGGUACGAUCGGUGACAGGUGGUGCAUGGUUGUCGUCAGCUCGUGUCGUGAGAUGUUGGUUAAGUCCGCAACGAGCGCAACCCCUAUUGUAGUUGCCAUCAUUCAGUUGGGCACUCUAGCGAGACUGCCGGUAAUAAACCGGAGGAAGGUGGGAUGACGUCAAAUCAUCAUGCCCCUUAUGACCUGGGCUACACACGUGCUACAAUGGUUGGUACAACGAGUUGCGAGUCGGUGACGGCGAGCUAAUCUCUUAAAGCCAAUCUCAGUUCGGAUUGUAGGCUGCAACUCGCCUACAUGAAGUCGGAAUCGCUAGUAAUCGCGGAUCAGCACGCCGCGGUGAAUACGUUCCCGGGCCAU
rnacentral:rRNA from 1 species